rnacentral:rRNA from 1 species
AGCGAACGCUGGCGGCAGGCCUAACACAUGCAAGUCGAACGAACCUUUCGGGGUUAGUGGCGGACGGGUGAAUAACACGUGGGAACGUGCCUUUAGGUUCGGAAUAACUCAGGGAAACUUGUGCUAAUACCGAAUGUGCCCUUCGGGGGAAAGAUUUAUCGCCUUUAGAGCGGCCCGCGUCUGAUUAGCUAGUUGGUUGAGGUAAUGGCUCACCAAGGCGACGAUCAGUAGCUGGUCUGAGAGGAUGAUCAGCCACAUUGGGACUGAGACACGGCCCAAACUCCUACGGGAGGCAGCAGUGGGGAAUCUUGCGCAAUGGGCGAAAGCCUGACGCAGCCAUGCCGCGUGAAUGAUGAAGGUCUUAGGAUUGUAAAAUUCUUUCACCGGGGACGAUAAUGACGGUACCCGGAGAAGAAGCCCCGGCUAACUUCGUG